GACUAUGUUAAUCUUAUGUGCGCUAAAAGCGUGUGCGGGAAGGCAGCACGCUGCAUUGAGAUACCCCUGUAGUUCCGCGCCGUAAACGACGAGUGUUAAGUGUUUAGAGGGUUUCCCGCCCUUUAGUGCCGAAGUUACCUGCAUUAAGCAAGCUCCGCCUGGGGAGUACGGCCGCAAGGCUGAAACUCAACAGGAAUUGACGGGGGGCCGCACAAGCGGUGGAGCAUGUGGUUUAAUUCGAAGCAACGCGAAGAACCUUACCAGGUCUUGACAUCCUCUGAAAACCCUAGAGAUAGGGCUUCUCCUUCGGGAGCAGAGUGACAGGUGGUGCAUGGUUGUCGUCAGCUCGUGUCGUGAGAUGUUGGGUUAAGUCCCGCAACGAGCGCAACCCUUGAUCUUAGUUGCCAUCAUUAAGUUGGGCACUCUAAGGUGACUGCCGGUGACAAACCGGAGGAAGGUGGGGAUGACGUCAAAUCAUCAUGCCCCUUAUGACCUGGGCUACACACGUGCUACAAUGGACGGUACAAAGAGCUGCAAGACCGCGAGGUUUUGGAGCUAAUCUCAUAAAACCGUUCUCAGUUCGGAUUGUAGGCUGCAACUCGCCUACAUGAAGCUGGAAUCGCUAGUAAUCGCGGAUCAGCUAUGCCGCGGUGAAGUACGUUCCCGGGCCUUGUACACACCGCCCGUCACACCACGAGAGUUUGUAACACCCGAAGUCGGUGGGGUAACCUUUAUGGAGCCAGCCGCCUCUUAGUGGUACCCCGGGG
rnacentral:rRNA from 1 species